UCUUAUUGAUAAUAAUUUUAAGUCGACCUGCCCAAUGAAAAUUUUUGAAUGGCUGCAGUAUAACUGACUGUACAAAGGUAGCAUAAUCAAUUGAUUUUUAAAUGAAAUCUGGAAUGAAAGGAUUAAUGAAAUAUAUACUGUCUCAUGUAUAUAACAUAAAAUUAAAAUUUUAAUUAAAAUGUUAAAAUUUAUUUAUGGGACGAUAAGACCCUAUAGAAUUUUAUAUCAUCAAAUCUUAAUAGUUAACAUAAAAAAUUUGAUGAUAUUUGGUUGGGAGGACUAUUAAAUUUAACAAACUUUAAUUUCUGCAAACUUUAAUGAGAGGAAAAUAUUAGUGAUCUUUAAUUUGAAAUAUUUAGAUUAAAUUACCUUAGGGAUAACAGCGUUAUACUUUUUUAUAGGCCACAUAGAAAAAAGUGAUUGCGACCUCGAUGUUGAAUUAAGAUAAAUUUUGAACGCAGGAGUUUAAUAAUUAAGUCUGUUCGACUUUUAAAAUCUUACAUGAUUUGAGUUCAAAUCGACGUAAGU
rnacentral:rRNA from 1 species